AUUGAACGCUGGCGGCAUGCCUUACACAUGCAAGUCGAACGGUAACGCGGGGCAACCUGGCGACGAGUGGCGAACGGGUGAGUAAUGUAUCGGAACGUGCCCAGUUGUGGGGGAUAACUGCUCGAAAGAGCAGCUAAUACCGCAUACGACCUGAGGGAGAAAGCGGGGGAUCGCAAGACCUCGCGCAAUUGGAGCGGCCGAUAUCAGAUUAGGUAGUUGGUGGGGUAAAGGCUCACCAAGCCAACGAUCUGUAGCUGGUCUGAGAGGACGACCAGCCACACUGGGACUGAGACACGGCCCAGACUCCUACGGGAGGCAGCAGUGGGGAAUUUUGGACAAUGGACGCAAGUCUGAUCCAGCCAUGCCGCGUGCGGGAAGAAGGCCUUCGGGUUGUAAACCGCUUUUGUCAGGGAAGAAACGCUCUGGGUUAAUACCUCGGGGUAAUGACGGUACCUGAAGAAUAAGCACCGGCUAACUACGUGCCAGCCGCCGCCGUAACAC
rnacentral:rRNA from 1 species